rnacentral:rRNA from 1 species
AUUGAACGCUGGCGGCAGGCUUAACACAUGCAAGUCGAGCGAGCGGCGGACGGGUGAGUAAUGUCUGGGAAAAUGCCUGAUGGAGGGGGAUAACUACUGGAAACGGUAUCUAAUCCCGCAUACUAUCAGAUGUGCCCAUAGGGGAUUAGCUAGUGGGGGGGGUAAUGGCGCACCUAGGCGACGAUCCCUCGCUGGUCUGAGAGGAUGACCAGCCACACUGGAACUGAGACACGGUCCAGACUCCUACGGGAGGCAGCAGUGGGGAAUAUUGCACAAUGGGCGCAAGCCUGAUGCAGCCAUGCCGCGUGUAUGAAGAAGGCCUUCGGGUUGUAAAGCACUUUCAGCGAGGAGGCGUUACUCGCAGAAGAAGCACCGGCUAACUCCGUGCCAGCAGCCGCGGUAAUUC